UGGGGAAUAUUGCACAAUGGGCGAAAGCCUGAUGCAGCGACGCCGCGUGAGGGAUGACGGCCUUCGGGUUGUAAACCUCUUUCAGCAGGGACGAAGCGCAAGUGACGGUACCUGCAGAAGAAGCACCGGCUAACUACGUGCCAGCAGCCGCGGUAAUACGUAGGGUGCAAGCGUUGUCCGGAAUUACUGGGCGUAAAGAGUUCGUAGGCGGUUUGUCGCGUCGUUUGUGAAAACCAGCAGCUCCACUGCUGGCUUGCAGGCGAUACGGGCAGACUUGAGUACUGCAGGGGAGGCUGGAAUUCCUGGUGUAGCGGUGAAAUGCGCAGAUAUCAGGAGGAACACCGGUGGCGAAGGCGGGUCUCUGGGCAGUAACUGACGCUGAGGAACGAAAGCGUGGGUAGCGAGCAGG
rnacentral:rRNA from 1 species